rnacentral:lncRNA from 1 species
CUAUACAUCUCAAAAAGAAGACUUGACUCCCAGCGGAGGGACUCGGAUGAAUGUACAACUAUUGAAUGCCGAGACACCUACCAAAAGAUGGAUAUAAGUCUACAAGGACACCUCGUCCUAGUUACUUGCUGCCUCGUGAUCUGAAAACAAGAAGUUGAAAAUGGUGAGUAUAAACUCAAUGAGUGAACAAGGAAGGGAACAAGCAACCAUAAGGAAGAAUUUCAAAUCAUGAUGCUUUUGUUUUAAAACAAUGCAAUUUAAUUUCAUUCAUAUUAAAAACCCCUCAUUAAACCCUUAUAUGAUUAAUCAAUUGGUAAUGAGGAACCCAUACAUAACAAAUAAUUUGAAGAAUGAAGGCUACAAUGAUACACCAACAAGACAAAUGCAACGACGAAUCUUCGCUGCAACGGGAAGGCAUUCUCGCUGCAGCGUAGUUGCAGCAAGAAUGAAUUUUUGCUGCAGCAACGUUGGAAUUGAGUUAUUAGCCGAACGUGGGUUUCUUAACUGGCCAAGGGUUUUUCACUAAACUACCUCAUUUUAAACUUAACUCAUUUAGUCCUUAAUGCUUGAAGUCCAUGCCCAGAUAUGGUAGCAAAUAAGUGAAAAAUAGGGCAGCAAUUGGACAAGAUAGGAGACAAAAACAUAAGGUUUUUCGCUGCAGCUAAAUUGUAACCCAAAAACAAAAGGUUUCUCGCUGCAGCGAGAUUCUUUCUCGCUGUAGUGAAAUUCAACUGAUGAAACAGAGAGUUUUUCGCUGUAGCGAGAUUCGUUUUCGCUGCAACGAGAAGCUACAGUGACUAUCUGGCUGCAGCGAAAUACAUUCUCGUUGCAGCGAGAACCAGUUCUGGUGAAGAUUCUCAAACUGGAGAGUUUCUCGCUGCAGCGAGAAUGAAUUUCGCUGCAGGGAAAAUAGAGCGACAAGAGAAAAGUUUCCCCUCACUCAACAAAAAGGCCAUAUGCUAAACCAACAAAAUAAACAUACAGCACAUGAAAAUUCCUAAAGUGCAAUGUAUCAAAUUUCUCAUAUAUGUGCAUAAUUACAUAGAUAAACAUCAACAUCAUCAUAAUCACACCCAGCUCAUGUACAUCUCCCCACAUCGUGCACGUAGCCCGCGCCAUCGUGUGCAUCCCCCCACAUCGUGCACAAUCAGUGCCAUUGUGUACAUCCCCCCACAUCGUGCACACGAGCACUAUCAUCAUCCAUCUCUUACUCCACCAUUAUCACUGGCAUGUGCAUCCCCCCCACAUCAUGCACACACACGGUUACUGUCAUUAUACACAAUAUCAUUCAUCAUGCACAACACACACAUUUAUAUAUCUUCAUACUACAAUAGUGCAUGAAUCCAUAGCAAUCACAUAUCACAACAUAAAACCAUUUUGCAAAAGCUUGUUCCCAAGGCACUUGUCUUUAUGAAAAACUUGAUAAUUCAUUCAAAUGGGUGGCAAAUACAUUAUAUUUCCCAAAACAACUUUUGAAGGCAGUCCAUUCACCAAUUGAUUGUAGAGCCUUUAGAUGACUCCAAUUCCCCUAAUUGUCCAAAUGAGAUGAUGGGGCUUCCUUAGAACC